UACAGAGGGGGCAAGCGUUGUUCGGAAUUACUGGGCGUAAAGGGCGCGUAGGCGGCCCGCUAAGUCGAACGUGAAAUCCCCGAGCUCAACUCGGGAACUGCGUCCGAUACUGGCGGGCUUGAAUUCGGGAGAGGGAUGCGGAAUUCCAGGUGUAGCGGUGAAAUGCGUAGAUAUCUGGAGGAACACCGGUGGCGAAGGCGGCAUCCUGGACCGGCAUUGACGCUGAGGCGCGAAAGCUAGGGGAGCAAACGGG
rnacentral:rRNA from 1 species